rnacentral:rRNA from 1 species
GACGUAGGGCGCGAGCGUUGUCCGGAUUUAUUGGGCGUAAGGAGCUCGUAGGCGGCUUGUCGCGUCGACUGUGAAAUCCCGCGGCUCAACUGCGGGUCUGCAGUCGAUACGGGCAGGCUAGAGUUCGGUAGGGGAGACUGGAAUUCCUGGUGUAGCGGUGAAAUGCGCAGAUAUCAGGAGGAACACCGGUGGCGAAGGCGGGUCUCUGGGCCGAUACUGACGCUGAGGAGCGAAAGCGUGGGGAGCGAACAGG